rnacentral:rRNA from 1 species
AUUGAACGCUGGCGGCAGGCCUAACACAUGCAAGUCGAACGAGUGGCGGACGGGUGAGUAAUGUCUGGGAAACUGCCUGAUGGAGGGGGAUAACUACUGGAAACGGUAGCUAAUACCGCAUACCAUCAGAUGUGCCCAGAUGGGAUUAGCUGGUUGGUGGGGUAACGGCUCACCAAGGCGACGAUCCCUAGCUGGUCUGAGAGGAUGACCCGGCAAACUGGAACCUAGACACGGUCCAGAAUCCUACGGGAGGCAGCAGGUGGGAAUAUUGCACAAUGGGCGCAAGCCUGAUUGAGCCAUGCCGCGUUUAUGAAGAAGGCCUUCGGGGUGUAAAGGACUUUCAGCGGGGAGGCGUUACCCGCAGAAGAAGCACCGGCUAACUCCGUGCCAGCAGCCGCGGUAAUUC